AUUGAACGCUGGCGGCAGGCCUAACACAUGCAAGUCGAGCGGAUGAAGGGAGCUUGCUCCUGGAUUCAGCGGCGGACGGGUGAGUAAUGCCUAGGAAUCUGCCUGGUAGUGGGGGAUAACGUCCGGAAACGGGCGCUAAUACCGCAUACGUCCUGAGGGAGAAAGUGGGGGAUCUUCGGACCUCACGCCAUCAGAUGAGCCUAGGUCGGAUUAGCUAGUUGGUGGGGUAAAGGCCUACCAAGGCGACGAUCCGUAACUGGUCUGAGAGGAUGAUCAGUCACACUGGAACUGAGACACGGUCCAGACUCCUACGGGAGGCAGCAGUGGGGAAUAUUGGACAAUGGGCGAAAGCCUGAUCCAGCCAUGCCGCGUGUGUGAAGAAGGCCUUCGGAUUGUAAAGCACUUUAAGUUGGGAGGAAGGGCAGUAAGUUAAUACCUUGCUGUUUUGACGUUACCAACAGAAUAAGCACCGGCUAACUUCGUG
rnacentral:rRNA from 1 species